rnacentral:misc_RNA from 1 species
AACGCACGAGACCUGCGGACCUGCGGAAGGAUCAUUAACGAGUUAGGGUCUUCUAGGCCCGACCUCCCAACCCUAUGUUUAUUGAACCUCUGUUGCUUCGGCGGACCCGUCUUACGACCGCCGGAGGAUUGCUGAAAGCCGUCCUCUGGCCAGUGUCCGCCGAUGGCCAACCUAUUAAACUCUGAAUAAAUCGUGUCAUGAUGUCUAAGUACUAUAUUAAAUAAAGCAAAACUUUCAACA